rnacentral:rRNA from 1 species
GGAGGUCCUGCCUGCCCAAUGAUUCUAAUUAAAUGGCCGCGGUAUUUUGACCGUGCUAAGGUAGCGCAAUCACUUGUCUUUUAAAUGAAGACCUGUAUGAAUGGCAAGACGAGGGCUUAGCUGUCUCCUUUUUCCAGUCAAUGAAAUUAAUCUACCCGUGCAGAAGCGGGUAUACCCUUACAAGACGAGAAGACCCUUUGGAGCUUAAGAUUAACAGCCAACUACACCCAGUUAUAAUAAUUAAAAAAAUAAACCAAGUAUAGAUAUGGCUCUCAUCUUCGGUUGGGGCGACCGCGGGGGAAAAGAAAGCCCCAUGGGGAAUAAGACAAAUCUUUUAACCAAGAAAGACAUUUCUAAGUCUCAGAACAUCUGACCAAAUGAUCCGGUACUAACCGAUCAACGAACCAAGUUACCCUAGGGAUAACAGCGCAAUCCCCUCCAAGAGUUCAUAUCGACGAGAGGGUUUACGACCUCGAUGUUGGAUCAGGACAUCCUAAUGGUGCAGCCGCUAUUAAGGG